AACAAACGCUGGCGGCGUGCCUAACACAUGCAAGUCGUACGAGAAAAUCGGCUUCGGCCGGUGAGUAAAGUGGCGCACGGGUGAGUAACGCGUGGAUAAUCUGCCCUUUAGUCAGGAAUAACCUGCCGAAAGGUGAGCUAAUACCUGAUAAUACUAUUUUCACCCCGGUGGGAUAGUCAAAGAUAGCCUCUAUUUAUAAGCUUUCACUGAAGGAUGAGUCCGCGUACCAUUAGCUAGUUGGUAGGGUAAUGGCCUACCAAGGCCAUGAUGGUUAGCUGGUCUGAGAGGAUGAUCAGCCACACUGGAACUGAGAUACGGUCCAGACUCCUACGGGUGGCUG
rnacentral:rRNA from 1 species